CCUACGGGAGGCAGCAGUGAGGAAUAUUGGUCAAUGGACGAGAGUCUGAACCAGCCAAGUAGCGUGAAGGAUGACUGCCCUAUGGGUUGUAAACUUCUUUUAUAAAGGAAUAAAACGAGGCACGCGUGCCUUUUUGUAUGUACUUUAUGAAUAAGGAUCGACUAACUCCGUGCCAGCAGCCGCGGUAAUACGGAGGAUCCGAGCGUUAUCCGGAUUUAUUGGGUUUAAAGGGAGCGUAGAUGGGUUGUUAAGUCAGUUGUGAAAGUUUGCGGCUCAACCGUAAAAUUGCAAUUGAUACUGGCAGUCUUGAGUACAGUUGAGGUAGGCGGAAUUCGUGGUGUAGCGGUGAAAUGCUUAGAUAUCACGAAGAACCCCGAUUGCGAAGGCAGCUUACUAAACUGUGACUGACAUUGAUGCUCGAAAGUGUGGGUAUCAAACAGGAUUAGAUACCCCGGUAGUC
rnacentral:rRNA from 1 species